rnacentral:rRNA from 1 species
GACGAACCGUGCGAACGUUGUUCGGAAUCACUGGGCUUAAAGGGCGUGUAGGCGGCUCGACAAGUCGGGGGUGAAAUCUUUCGGCUCAACCGGAAAAGGGCCUCCGAUACUGUCGAGCUCGAGGGAGGUAGGGGCGGACGGAACUUCCGGUGGAGCGGUGAAAUGCGUUGAUAUCGGAAGGAACGCCGGUGGCGAAAGCGGUCCGCUGGCCCUCUACUGACGCUGAGGCGCGAAAGCCAGGGGAGCCAAACGGG